UUGAACGCUGGCGGCAGGCCUAACACAUGCAAGUCGAGCGGAGGAAGGGAGCUUGCUCCUGGAUUCAGCGGCGGACGGGUGAGUAAUGCCUAGGAAUCUGCCUGGUAGUGGGGGAUAACGUCCGGAAACGGGCGCUAAUACCGCAUACGUCCUGAGGGAGAAAGUGGGGGAUCUUCGGACCGCACGCUAUCAGAUGAGCCUAGGUCGGAUUAGCUAGUUGGUGGGGUAAAGGCCUACCAAGGCGACGAUCCGUAACUGGUCUGAGAGGAUGAUCAGUCACACUGGAACUGAGACACGGUCCAGACUCCUACGGGAGGCAGCAGUGGGGAAUAUUGGACAAUGGGCGAAAGCCUGAUCCAGCCAUGCCGCGUGUGUGAAGAAGGUCUUCGGAUUGUAAAGCACUUUAAGUUGGGAGGAAGGGCAGUAAGUUAAUACCUUGCUGUUUUGACGUUACCAACAGAAUAAGCACCGGCUAACUUCGUG
rnacentral:rRNA from 1 species